rnacentral:rRNA from 1 species
AACGCUGGCGGCGCGCCUAACACAUGCAAGUCGAACGAGAAAGCAGGAGCAAUCUUGUGAGUAAAGUGGCGUACGGGUGAGUAACACGUGGAUCAUCUACCCUCUUGUGGGGGAUAACUCUGGGAAACCGGAGCUAAUACCGCAUAAGUCCGAGAGGAGAAAGCAGCAAUGCGCAGGAGGAGGAGUCCGCGGCCGAUUAGCUAGUUGGUAGGGUAAAAGCCUACCAAGGCUACGAUCGGUAGCCGGCCUGAGAGGGCACACGGCCACACUGGCACUGAAACACGGGCCAGACUCCUACGGGAGGCAGCAGUGGGGAAUCUUGCACAAUGGGGGCAACCCUGAUGCAGCGACGCCGCGUGAGCGAUGAAGCCCUUCGGGGUGUAAAGCUCUUUCGGCAGGGAAGA